rnacentral:rRNA from 1 species
UACGGAGGGGGCUAGCGUUGUUCGGAAUUACUGGGCGUAAAGCGCGCGUAGGCGGAUUUGCCAGUCAGGGGUGAAAUGCCAGGGCUUAACCUUGGAACUGCCUUUGAUACUGCAAGUCUGGAGUACGGGAGAGGUGAGUGGAAUUCCGAGUGUAGAGGUGAAAUUCGUAGAUAUUCGGAGGAACACCAGAAGCGAAGGCGGCUCACUGGCCCGAUACUGACGCUGAGGCGCGAAAGCGUGGGGAGCAAACAGG